CCACUUUCUAAAUCUAGCGCCAUCAGACUUCCGUGCUGUCCAGUGCUAGAAGGGUCAUAGUGUGACGAGUUCUCAAUCAAACAUUCAGUUUCCCUGCUAGGAUUCUGAAUCAAUUGUUCUCUCCAGGUGCUUCGUAUUGAUCUCAACCUCUCAGCGACCUCUCUCAUUAAUGGCCGUUCUUCCCCCCUCAUACUCAAGCAACACUUUGCCAGUUGAGCAAUUUCUUGGAGCAGCUUCGCUUCGAAGUCUAAUAUAUUCUUGUCCAAGAUGAAUUGAAGUCCAUUUUCUUUCAUUGCCAGAAGGAACGAUGAUGCAAGUUUUUUCUUUUCUCCAGCACUGUCGGAAUAAAUUGCGAACUUUAUUGUAAUCAGCUCUAGGAGCACAACUCCAAAACUAUAAACAUCACUCUUCUCUGUUAGUUGACGCUCUUGCAAGUAUUCAGGGUCAAGAUAACCUAUAGUUCCCUGUACCAUUGUCAUAAACUGUAUUUCAUCCGUAGGAAGCAUUCUUGAUGCUCCAAAAUCAGUCACUUUUGCUGUGUAGUUGUCACCUAGGAGAAUGUUUGGAGAUUUUACAUCUCCAUGAACUAUGGGAGGGGAUGCUGAUGAGUGCAGAUAUGCCAAUGCUUCUGCAGAUUCCUGAGCUAUCCUGAGACGAGUAUCCAGUGAAACGGGAAAUCUUCUGUUUUUACCAUGCAUCAGCUCGAAUAGGGUGCCGUUUGGGAUGCAUUCAUAGACCAACAUUGGGACUUCCACUUCUAAGCAACAUCCUAGAAGCUUUACCACAUUCCUGUGGUUUAUCUGUGAAAGUAUAACCAUCUCCUGCGCAAAUUCAUCUUUCUGGUCCAUGUUCAUAACCUUUGAGCGCUUUAUGGCUACCACUCUGCCGUCUUUGAGAAUACCCUUGUAAACAGUUCAUGGCCACCUCUUCCUAAUUCUCUGCUUGAGUCGAAAUUGUUCGUUGCGUUCUCUAGUUCUUCCCUUGUGAAUAUUCUCACUGUAUCAACUUGCUUUGACCUGAUUUGGUCAUAUAAUAGCAGGCCACCAUUUUGUUGGAAGAAUAUCUGCUUUUCUUUCACCAGCUUUCUCUUCUGACAUUCAAUCAGGAGUGCAGAAAUGCAGAUAAGGAGAAGUACUGCACAUGCCGAAAUACCUGCCAAGAAUAAUAUUCUUUCAGUUUUGGUUCUUGAACACGCAGGUGAGUUGUGUAUCUUUGUAUUAAAGAAGAAAGGAAGGGGUAGAAAGCCUUAAUAGUCUUAUCAUUUAGUACAUUUGAACACAUAAAUAGGUAUGCGUUUGUUCCUUAUGCGAUAUGCGAUGAUAAAAGUGGGCAUUUGAUCUGCAUGUAAGUCAAUGUAGCAUAUGCAGCUAUUAUUUAUAUGACAACCUUCAGCCUUUUGUGUUUUUUGGUUUUCUGCUGUCGUUAUCAGGAAAAUGGUAUUCAGAAAAAAUUUGUGGAAAAAUAUGAUCAUCUACGAGCUGUGCAAAAGUAAGAAAAAAAAUGAGAUAUCGAAUAAAUUGCUGUAGAAUGCAAGUUAUGAAACUUGUUGUGCAUAAAUACAUCACGAUUUUUGCUAAGUUAAAAACAUUGGGUUCAUAUGUACCAUGUUCUAAAAAUUGGCUCUAGUUAUUACUACAACUAAUACAAUGCAUGCAUGUGCAAGUAUCCAAUUUUUUUGGAGGAGAUUAUCAUCUGUGGCUUGUUGAUCCAAUGCAAAUCUGUAUACAGUUUCCAGAAUUACAAUUUUUUUUUGCAUGAGAGGUACUAUUAUUGGCUAAAUGAUAAAUUUGUGCUCGAUAUAUUUCAUUUUUUUGCUUUAUAUUAAUAUAAAUAGUGUUUUUAGUGCAAAGCUGAGUUUUUUUUUCCGGGGAAAAGUUGAGUUCUUGUUGUGAAGUACAAGCAACCAAUGACAUCCAAUUGUAAGAAACUCUGCAUUGUUUUAUGUUAUGAACUUUGUGUGUGAUCUAUUGUCACACACGGGCACUUGGCCACUAUUUAAGUAUGUAAUUUACCAUCGGUAUCUUUUAAAUUAUGCAGAAGAUUAUACUUUCUAGAAUAAAUGUUACUUUCACUAAUGCGCUAUAUCAGUUUGACUUAUCCAUGCUAUUGAGAUAUUUACUGACAUAUUUGGAACAUAUACCUGCAAACAUUUUUGUUAAUCUAGCUCUUUCUGAAACUGCAAUUGGGUCACAGGUUUUUCUCUUUGGAUCUGCACUCUGAGUCGCAGAUUUGCAUGAACAAUCGUAGUCCCCAAUUAUAUUACUGCAAAUUCCAUGGCAAGGAUACUGAUCUGGGAAAUUGCACUCGUUUAUAUCUGCACACAUAAUUCAAGAACAGAGAAAUAGCUUGAGAUGGAUGCAGAGAUAACUUGAGGUGAACCCAAAAGAAGGAAGUGAGUUACCAACCUUGGCAUCCUUCUUCCAGGUAUGGAUUGCCUGCAAAACCAUUGUUGCAGGUGCAGAGAUAUCCUGUAGCAUUUGGUGACGUGAUGCACCGGCUAUUCUUGCUAAUGCAGGCAUACGUUGACAUGUUCUUCACGGCUUCAUUGCAGUAUUCAUUUCCAGCAACCCAGUCAAGCAGAGUGGGUACUCCAUCCUUGAACUUCUCUUUGAGUUUAUUAUCCUCUAGAUAAGAAGCCUCAAACCUGAACCAAUCCUGCUCGGCGACAAAAGCAUAGCUGCAUGGGUUGAAGCCACUCACCUCAGAAUUGUCGAAUCUGUCAUCGAAUGUUACAUUGGAGAAAUUGAGGUUUGGCGCAAUAGAUGUCUGGCAACAGCCCAUUCCAGAGCACUGACCACUUUCAUCCACACUUCGCCUGUCUGCGCACAUCGAGAAACACCCAGCUCCCACUCUGUGCUCGUUAAAGCCUCCCAGGAAUGCAAGGGUGUUGCAUCCAACCGCUGUUAAUUUGUUUGCCUUGGUUGAUAUUGUAAAAAACUUACCCGUAUUUAACCAGGCCCAUCCCCCUGUCUCGUUGAAGCACUUGGAUGCAAUCAAGGUGGUGACUCGGGCCUGCCCUCCUAGCAGACUGAUGUUGUAGAUCUUUAUUCUGCUGCUUGAGUUAUGCCUGUAAACACUGUUGUUCUCGCAUGAAACAUCGAACCCUUCGCGGAAGCAACCUUCACCGAUGCCGAAGGGGUAUGGGAUGGUGAGGUUGCCACAUGUUUCUUGGCACCCAGGCUUUGCCAUCCUGGAUGCUGUGCUGCUCUUGAUGCUUGCUAGCAUCAGGCUGGCUGCAAAGAUUAGGCAUGGUAGGGCUGCUGCCAUCUCUUUGUGUAUUUCUGCCUCCUUUUCUGCCUGUCCUAUGAUUCAGCUCCCUUUCUCUAACUUGGCUAUGCUUAUAUAACGAAAUGGAUGUGGACUAAUUGAUCUUUCAUGUUUUUUUCCCAAUCAGAGUGUAGACUAGGUCAGAAGUGGUUUGGGGUUUGAACUAGCCUUCUUUCAGUCAUAAAAAUAGCUUGCUUGUCUGCUCUGCAAUCCAAACAUGAGACCGCUAAUUAAUUGGCAGUUUCUUUUAUCUUUUGAGAGAGGGAGGGAGGGAGGCAGGCCACUUUUACGAACCCACCUUUUGUAUUUCUUUAUCAAAUUAUGCAUGGAAAUUGUUGAGCAUAAUUGGUUUGGUGCCAAAAAUUGGCAUGCCAAUGUUUGGUAUUGUGCCAAAUAUUGGGUACUGCUUGGUUGGUUACCGAGUUGUCUUGACUAUCUCACAUAAAAUUGCCAAUAGUUGGCAAGUCCUGGUGCAAACCAAUCAUGCUCGUUGUCUACAACUUGGAGUAUUAACUUUUACACUACUUUUUAACAAAAUAAAGUUUCAAACUGGUCAUGAUCACAGCUUGCCAGAGUGCUGAAAUUAGUUUAAUAUUAAGGCAGAAAAGCAAGUAUGUCUCUUAUAUGAGGCACGCAUUUAGAUGCUAGACACAAAGCGCCUUGCCCAGAUUUAAUAGAAAGCCAAAAGAAGGUUCAGGUGAAACUGGGGCAUCGUUUACAUAUUGGCCGAUAUGGUGGUUAUAGCAGUGCAAUUUCCCCCUUCUAUAUCCCUUGCUUGGCGGAUUGGCCUUUUCUGAAAGCAACUCCCCACCUACCAUAGAAGACCGGGCCAUCAGAUUUUUGCUGCGUCAACGUACUCCAUUUGGCUUAAUCUCACCAUGCUUAUUUGAUGAAAUGUCACAUCCACAACUAGCCUUCUAUGAAACGGAAGUAGCCGGUGCAGAUUAUAGUGGCAAUUGGUAGGUCCCAGGCGACCUUGGACACACAUAUAACUGGGGAGACUCUUCUAUCCUGGCUGCAAUAUAUGAAAUGUCUCGUUGGCGUAUUUACCUUCAAACACUGUAACGCAUUGUCACCAGUAACUAGCAGCAGCUAAUUUAAAACUUAACCUUAUGUUGCCUUGCCACAGGUGAUUGAGCCGGGAAGUGACCCAGGUUCCUUGAUGUGAUCAGGGCGACUUUGAAUCCAUGGCCAGGUCAAGUCAUUAAAGAGAAUCUUUCAAAAGGGACAAGGAGAUAUGCACAUCCUGCUCGAUGAAAGUGAAGGUGAACUCGUUCGUGUCAUGGCAUUGAAUGAGACUGGUAAAGGGGGUAAGCUUGCUCUGUGAAUACCUUGGACUAGUUCUGCUGUCUUGAUCGACUCCGCCGCGAGAACAGAUUUGCACCACAGGUUCGUCCCUGAAUUACGCUUGACCAAACUUGUGUUCUUCUGUGCUAUGCAUUGUGGUGUGGACUAGUUUGUAACAGGGGAACUUACCAGCUCAGCUAAGAAAUGUCUCUGACAAGUCGCUAUUGAGUUAGUUUAUAUAUAAGUAAAAAAAGGGAAAAGGAAAUACCUGUAUUUUUAGAGGGUGUACCCAGUGCUGAAAGACCUGUUUUUUUUAAGGAAUUAGCAAAAACACAGCACAAUUCAUGUGCUGUAUCUCAUCAGGUCCAUAAACUUGUACCAAUCUGUGACAAAUUCUGUGCUGUAAUAUCAAGAAAUUCUGGCUUCCAUGUGUACCAUACAUAUACCUUAGCCUGAGGUGUAAUUUUUUCUAAGUUAGAGGUGUUCUUGAGGUCAUCGGUAUAUUGUAGUAUCUUUGUUCAUGGAGAAUAGUGUAAUAGUGGAAGCGGGUAAGUUCGUGCUAAUUACUUGAGUCAUAGGAAAAAUCCAAAAUGAAAAUAUCUUUUCCCUUCUUGGUACAAAUUAAAAAAAGAAUUAAUGCCUCUAUGUUUGCAACUGGUAUGUGAGAUAGUGGAAGCGGGUAAGUUUCUGCUUAAUAAAUGCGCACAGGCUCGAGUUUGAAUUUAUCAACGUAGUUUCCCCCUACUUUUUCCUGCUUAUUGGUAAGUACUAUCCACUGUCGGUGCAAUGAAUCUCAUAUGAAAAUUUGUUACUGAUAAUUACUCUACUUUCAAUUCGAGCCUAGUUUUAAGCGUUGGCAAGUUUUUGCACCCUUCACUGCUUUGGGGUUCGAUUUGCAUUCACUUCUAAAAUACCUGUAAUGUAUGAUCAACAACUUCCAUGGUGUAAAAUAGGCAACGCUAUAGCAUCUAUUUGUUUUUUUACUGGAAAACUGUAGGGGAGGCUCUGACAGUAAUAUAUUGUCAAAUAGAGUAAAAGGUAUACAAGAUAUAUACAGGAGUUGCAUAUCAGAGGUUAUACAGAAGGAACUAUAUUCAGUGGAUACAAGCACAUGCUAGGAAGGUGAUGGUAAAAAAAAAGUUAACACAAUUUAGCAACUCUUUGUUGUUAACAUACUGGAAUUACUUGAAAUCAUGGUACAUAGAAGUUUGCUAUUCAUGCAAGGAGGUUUGUUACAAUUAAAAACAAAAUGACACAUUUUUGCAUGACAUUUAUGGCACGAAAUAGUAAAUUCAAUCUCUGCUACAAUCUGUGAUUUCAUAAGCAAUUUAUCAUCUACCACUUUCCAGAUCUAGCGCCAUCAGACUUCCGUGCUGUCCAGUGCUAGAAGGGUCAUAGUGUGACGAGUUCUCAAGCAAACAUUCAGUUUCCCUGCUAGGAUUCUGAAUCAAUUGUUCUCUCCAGGUGCUUCGUAUUGAUCUCAACCUCUCAGCGACAUCUCUCAUUAAUGGCCGUUCUUCCCCCCUCAUACUCAAGCAACACUUUGCCAGUUGAGCAAUUUCUUGGAGCAGCUCCGCUUCGAAGUCUA
rnacentral:lncRNA from 1 species